GCCGCAGAGGCGGCUGAAGGUGAGCUGAGUGUAUCCUAUCAUGCCUGACUGGGCGAGUUGUCCUGGGCCGAGGCCUCUGGGCUGGGGAUGAAAGAAACGGAUCCGAUGCAGAGUCUGGAGGGCUCCGGGGCCGAGAGGUCAGUCGGCACGCAGACGGGCAGCAUGACGGCACUUCCCUGGCGCCUUGCCUGCCCUGUGACUCACAGCGACUCCUGCCAGGCCGGGCUGCUCCCCGGUCUCCUUGCCAGACACACGUUCCGGACUGUGUUGUCCAGGCUUCAUCGGUCACGUCCUGCCCUGCACUGGCGAUUGCACCUAGAGUCAGUAUCCCGGAGCUGAAGAGCCUGGAAUUGCGCUUUUGCAAAUUCACCGCAAGUGAUGCCUCCCUCAAGUUUCGCCCUAUGGUUGAAGACCAAUCGUGUUCUAA
rnacentral:lncRNA from 1 species